AGGAUGAACGCUGGCGGCGUGCUUAACACAUGCAAGUCGAACGCUGAAGCUCCAGCUUGCUGGGGUGGAUGAGUGGCGAACGGGUGAGUAACACGUGAGUAACCUUCCCUUGACUCUGGGAUAAGCCCGGGAAACUGGGUCUAAUACCGGAUAUGACCUCCUGUCGCAUGGUGGGGGGUGGAAAGAUUUAUCGGUCUUGGAUGGACUCGCGGCCUAUCAGCCUGUUGGUGAGGUAAUGGCUCACCAAGGCGACGACGAGUAGCCGGCCUGAGAGGGUGACCGGCCACACUGGGACUGAGACACGGCCCAGACUCCUACGGGAGGCAGCAGUGGGGAAUAUUGCACAAUGGGCGCAAGCCUGAUGCAGCGACGCCGCGUGAGGGAUGACGGCCUUCGGUUGUAACCUCUUUCAGUAGGAAGAAGCCUUCGGUGACGGUACCUGCAGAAGAAGCGCCGGCUAACGUCGUGUCAGCAGCCGCGGUAAUCGUGA
rnacentral:rRNA from 1 species